rnacentral:rRNA from 1 species
CCUACGGGGGGCAGCAGUGGGGAAUAUUGCACAAUGGGCGCAAGCCUGAUGCAGCCAUGCCGCGUGUGUGAAGAAGGCCUUCGGGUUGUAAAGCACUUUCAGCGGGGAGGAAGGCGGUGAGGUUAAUAACCUCAUCGAUUGACGUUACCCGCAGAAGAAGCACCGGCUAACUCCGUGCCAGCAGCCGCGGUAAUACGGAGGGUGCAAGCGUUAAUCGGAAUUACUGGGCGUAAAGCGCACGCAGGCGGUCUGUAAAGUCGGAUGUGAAAUCCCCGGGCUCAACCUGGGAACUGCAUUCGAAACUGGCAGGCUAGAGUCUUGUAGAGGGGUGUAGAAUUCCAGGUGUAGCGGUGAAAUGCGUAGAGAUCUGGAGGAACACCGGUGGCGAAGGCGGCCCCCUGGACAAAGACUGACGCUCAGGUGCGAAAGCGUGGGGAGCAAACAGGAUUAGAUACCCGAGUAGUC